GAGUUUGAUCAUGGCUCAGAACGAACGCUGGCGGCAUGCCUAACACAUGCAAGUCGAACGAGACCUUCGGGUCUAGUGGCGCACGGGUGCGUAACGCGUGGGAAUCUGCCCUCUGGUACGGAAUAACUCGGGGAAACUUGAGCUAAUACCGUAUAAUGACUUCGGUCCAAAGAUUUAUCGCCUGAGGAUGAGCCCGCGUCGGAUUAGCUAGUUGGUGAGGUAAAAGCUCACCAAGGCGACGAUCCGUAGCUGGUCUGAGAGGAUGAUCAGCCACACUGGGACUGAGACACGGCCCAGACUCCUACGGGAGGCAGCAGUGAGGAAUAUUGGUCAAUGGGCGCAAGCCUGAACCAGCCAUGCCGCGUGCAGGAUGACGGUCCUAUGGAUUGUAAACUGCUUUUGUACAGGAAGAACACUCCCUCGUGAGGGAACUUGACGGUACUGUAAGAAUAAGGAUCGGCUAACUCCGUGCCAGCAGCCGCCGUAAG
rnacentral:rRNA from 1 species